rnacentral:rRNA from 1 species
ACGAAGGGGGCUAGCGUUGCUCGGAAUCACUGGGCGUAAAGCGCACGUAGGCGGAUUGCUAAGUCAGGGGUGAAAUCCUGGAGCUCAACUCCAGAACUGCCUUUGAUACUGGCGAUCUCGAGUCCGGGAGAGGUGAGUGGAACUGCGAGUGUAGAGGUGAAAUUCGUAGAUAUUCGCAAGAACACCGGUGGCGAAGGCGGCUACCUGGACAGAAACUGACGCUGAGGCGCGAAAGCUAGGGGAGCAAACAGGA